UACGUAGGGUGCGAGCGUUAACCGGAAUUACUGGGCGUAAAGCGUGCGCAGGCGGUGAUGUAAGACAGAUGUGAAAUCCCCGGGCUCAACCUGGGAACUGCAUUUGUGACUGCAUCGCUGGAGUGCGGCAGAGGGGGAUGGAAUUCCGCGUGUAGCAGUGAAAUGCGUAGAUAUGCGGAGGAACACCGAUGGCGAAGGCAAUCCCCUGGGCCUGCACUGACGCUCAUGCACGAAAGCGUGGGGAGCAAACAGG
rnacentral:rRNA from 1 species